UCUUCCCUCUGGCGGCGUGCCUAAUACAUGCAAGUCGAGCGAACAGACGAGGAGCUUGCUCCUCUGACGUUAGCGGCGGACGGGGGAGUAACACGUGGAUAACCUACCUAUAAGACUGGGAUAACUUCGGGAAACCGGAGCUAAUACCGGAUAAUAUAUUUAACCGCAUGGUUCAAUAGUGAAAGACGGUUUUGCUGUCACUUAUAGAGGGAUCCGCGCCGCAUUAGCUAGUUGGUAAGGUAACGGCUUACCAAGGCAACGAUGCGUAGCCGACCUGAGAGGGUGAUCGGCCACACUGGAACUGAGACACGGUCCAGACUCCUACGGGAGGCAGCAGUAGGGAAUAGUCCGCAAUGGGCGAAAGCUUGACGGAGCAACGCCGCGUGAGUGAUGAAGGUCUUCGGAUCGUAAAACUCUGUUAUUAGGGAAGACCAAAUGUGUAAGUAACUAUUCACGUCUUGACGGUACCUAAUCAGAAAGCCACGGCUAACUACGUG
rnacentral:rRNA from 1 species